rnacentral:rRNA from 1 species
UACGGGGGGGGCAAGCGUUGUUCGGAAUUACUGGGCGUAAAGGGUUCGUAGGUGGCUCGCUAAGUCAGACGUGAAAUCCCUCAGCUUAACUGGGGAACUGCGUCUGAGACUGGCAAGCUCGAGUGCAGGAGAGGAACGCGGAAUUCCAAGUGUAGCGGUGAAAUGCGUAGAGAUUUGGAGGAACACCAGUGGCGAAGGCGACUAUCUGGUCUGUAACUGACACUGAGGCGCGAAAGCGUGGGGAGCAAACA